GGGGUUGUAGCUCAGUUGGUAGAGUGCUUGCCUCAUAUGCAACAAGCCUUGGCUUUAAUCUCCAGCACUACCA
rnacentral:tRNA from 1 species